rnacentral:rRNA from 1 species
AUGGCCGUCGUUGAUAUCGUCGGGGAUCCACGAGCACCACGUCGCGCGCACCACGACGGCCACGAGCGCCGAGCUCGCGUAGUUGCCCAGCGCAAACGCCGCGCUGGAGAGCCCCGAGCAGACGCUCCGCAUGGCGUCCGGCGCCUGGUCAUAGAAGAACUCCAUCUGCCCGAUGAACGUGAACACCUCUGCGGCACCCACCACCACGUACUGCGGCACCUGCCAGAAGAUCGACAUCGGCACGUACCUCGCGCCGUCCUCGCCGGUGUAGGUUCCGUGGCGCGCGACGACGCGGCGCCGCGCCACCUCGAGCGUGCCGGCGGCGAGCAUGGCAACAGUGAGAAUGACGAAGCCCACACCCAUGCGCGCCAGCUGCGUGAACCCGCAGCGGUGGCCCGUGAGCGGCACCCAGAGCAUGACGCUGAGGGUGUCGAAGACGGUGAGCACGGCGGGGGGCACGCGGAAGCUGCCGACGCGCGGGUCCAGCGUGUCACCCUGGAGGAUGAAGGUGGUGGUCAUCUGCGUGUAGGCGGCCGCGAAGAUGAUGCCGCACGCCCACACCGGCAGCAGUCGGAGCACGCACUUGAGCUCCUCCACCUGCGUCACGGUGCACAGCCGCCACGGGCUCGCCGGCCGCGCCUUGUCGCCCGCCGUCUCCACCGCCGCCUUGUCCAAGAACCUGAGUGA